GUUUGUUAAAUAGAUCACCAAUGAAGUGACGAAUUUCCAAAACCACUAUAUAUAGUCUACUCUCUUUAGGGCUUCUUUCAUUUACGUAUCUGAAACACAACGAAGUGACGAAUUUCCAAAAUUACUCAUACAGAUCCAUCACCGAUCAUCGGAACAGCUCUACCACAACGUGGUGGUCUCCGUGGAAUUCGGAGCUCCUAUUUCCACAAUUCAAAUCCAACUUCCCAAUCAACCAAAGAAUAAAUGCUUCUUCCACAGCUUUAGAAGGAAGACAGAGUCCGAGAUACGAUGACCCCAAAACUUCCAAAUUUGCAUUUUUAAGAAAUUGAAGGAAAAUGUAGGCUGCAAAUACAAAUCCUAUACAUUGCAUAAAGAAGAAACCAGUCAAAAAU